rnacentral:lncRNA from 1 species
UAUAAAAAGUUGUUCAUUGAUAAUCUAUUAAAUUAUUGAUCGUCCCCAGAGCAAGUGACCAAGGGCUUGGUGAUUGGUACCCGAGAUCCAAGUUCGAAUCCUAGUUGAUUCACAUUUCUAGCUAAGUUUAUUUCUAAAUGAAAUAAACGAAGCGGUUAGCGUGCUACCUAUCUCUCUCAAAAAAAAAGAAAAGAAAAAAAGGAUA